ensembl:lncRNA
AUGGCAGCUCUGGCCUGGGGCUGGGCCGGCUCCUCGGGGCUGGGCUUCCUUUCCUGGGCAGCCUUGGCCGCAGGAGGCUGCGGCACAAUGGCCUCCGGCACCUGGGGCCGUGCCUCAGAGAGCGCCGAGAGUGACGGGGACUCCUUGAGCCGCUGGGCCUCAGCGUGGGCCAUCGGGAUCUCUAGGGGUGCACCGGAGCGGCGGUGCCGGACGACGGGCUCAGCAUCACCAUGGCUGAAGGAGCUGCUCUUCUGCAGGACGUGCUCCGGGGGCAGCAGGUGGGGCGAGGCAGCCUCGCUGGACGCUGCCCGCACCAACCGCGGCACUGAGGGUGCCAGCUGCUCCAUGUGGGACGGCCACUGCCCCUUCUUGUUGGGGCUGACGCCUAGCGUCUCCAGGAGUGGACCCCGCAGGCCGCUAACCUUGCCAUCGGCGGUGCCGCCCCGCAGCAGGCGCUGCCGCAUCAGCUCCAAGCGCUGGGCGUGCUCGUCCUCAGCCCCCCGCCGCCGCGGCAGCUCCAUGGAGGCCGCCUUGGCCAGGGCACGUCGAGGCUCCCGGCCCCCCUCAGCUCCCUCCUCAAGGCCUUGGGGCCGGCUCAGCAGGGCACUGUCAGCCGAGCUGCCCCGCUUCAGCUCUCCCCGGCGGGCGCUCUCCGGGGACUCCAGGCUGGAGCCCUUCCUCAUGGCUUUGCGGGGAUACUCGAGCCGCUUCUGGACCUCAGGGGCCUCCUCAUCGGAGGAGCUGGGUGCCUCCACCUCUGCACACUGCCGCCGUGGUCCUGGGACCCUCGGCCUCUUCCCCAGGGCCACCACGGCCUUUCCCGUGGCCUCACUCUGCCACUCCAUGGUGGAGCCAUCCCCUGGCACGGCCAACUCCUGCCGCAGGCCCUCAGCUGGCCCCGGCAUCUCGUCGUCCGUGGGGAUCUCGUUGAGGGACAUGCGGGAGCCAGAGAACUCCACCUGGUGCGGCAUUGGGAUGAAGGGCAGCUCAUCCAGGUCAUCCGAGUCUGAGGAGGACGAGAGGGCUGGAGACUCCUUGAGGUGGCGAGGCACAGCGAUGGAGAGGUGGUUGGAGGUGUCCUCCAGCAGCUCCGGGAUCGGCCGCAGCACCAUGUUGCACUUGUAG